rnacentral:rRNA from 1 species
GAUACUGCAUAUCUUGAGUCUGGUUGAGGUAGGCGGAAUGUAGUAUGUAGCGGUGAAAUGCAUAGAUAUACUACAGAACACCCAUUGCGAAGGCAGCUUACCAAACCAGCACUGACGCUCAGGCACGAAAGCGUGGGGAGCAAACAGGAUUAGAUACCCUGGUAGUCCACGCCGUAAACGUUGAUCACUCGUUGUUGGCAAUACACCGUCAGCGACUAAGCAAAAGCAUUAAGUGAUCCACCUGGGGAGUACGAUCGCAAGGUUGAAACUCAAAGGAAUUGACGGGGGCCCGCACAAGCGGAGGAGCAUGUGGUUUAAUUCGAUGAUACGCGAGGAACCUUACCCGGGCUUAAAUGUAGGGUGCAUUGGUGUGAAAACA